rnacentral:rRNA from 1 species
UACGUAGGUGGCAAGCGUUGUCCGGAUUUAUUGGGCGUAAAGAGCGCGUAGGCGGCUAGGUAGGUCCGUUGUGAAAACUCGAGGCUCAACCUCGAGACGUCGAUGGAAACCAUCUGGCUAGAGUCCGGAAGAGGAGAGUGGAAUUCCUGGUGUAGCGGUGAAAUGCGCAGAUAUCAGGAAGAACACCCGUGGCGAAGGCGGCUCUCUGGUACGUGACUGACGCUGAGACGCGAAAGCGUGGGGAGCGAACAGG